UACAGAGGUGCCAAGCGUUGUUCGGAUUUACUGGGCGUAAAGGGUGCGUAGGUGGUUUGGUAAGUCGGAUGUGAAAUCCUGCAGCUCAACUGCAGAACUGCAUUCGAAACUGCCAAGCUGGAGUACUGGAGAGGAGAUCGGAAUUCUCGGUGUAGCAGUGAAAUGCGUAGAUAUCGAGAGGAACACCAGUGGCGAAGGCGGAUCUCUGGACAGUUACUGACACUGAGGCACGAAAGCCAGGGAGCAAACGGG
rnacentral:rRNA from 1 species